CCACCUGAUUCCAUCCCGAACUCAGAAGUGAAACGAAACAGCGUCGAUGGUAGUGUGGGGUCUCCCCAUGUGAGAGUAGAACAUCGCCAGGC
rnacentral:rRNA from 3 species